GAGCCUGUGGUCACCUAAGGCUUCAAGAAUCAAAUGGAAGUUUCCAGACAGAAAUAAUUCACAAGUCCUGCUUUUCUUCCUGCUGUACGGAGCAUCUGGACAAAGUCUCUCACUGGCGUCUGCUCAGUGCAGCCCGAGCUUAAAAAAAUUGACUGUGACAUUUCAUCCUUAUGGGAAGAGCCUGCCAGAAGUCUUCCUGGACAGAUGAGGGUCUCAAGGGUGUGGAGUGGACUCAAGGAAACAAAUCGAGUGGCCAAAGUCCUUUGGGGGAGAGUCUGUGGUCUGAUCACCUUCUGGGCUUUGUUUGCAAAAGGGACAGAAGAGGCACAGCAGGCUCAGUUCAUCCUCAGGACUCCCUGACAUGGUGCUGGAAACUGGGGCAGCCUUUCCCAACCAAUCGUCCAACAAAGAUGAGAGAAACGUCAAGAAGUUUCAAGAAGAUUUCAGCCUGGUGGUGGUGUUGUUAGCCUGCUAUUAAAUCUAGCGGCUGCUCACCUCCAGCAUUGCUGUGAUGUGUUAAAAGCACCGUAAAUUAGAUUUUCUGCUAAUCGAAGCUGGAGGCACUCCUGACACUUUUUUUUUUCUUCAGAUGUCUAUCUGGCUCUGUGACUGGUGUGGGCUGCUCUGAGUUCUCACACUAGGUUGUCCUAUAUCUAUUAUAGCUGUCAACUGUUUAUUUCUCUCUCUCCUGUAAAAUGCUUGAAGACUUGGCUUGUGCUUAAUACAUGCUUGUACCUUACCAACCACUUACAGGUAGAGAGAUAGUCCACAGCAAUUGUUUUACAAAUUAAUAAACACUUGUAGCAAAUGCAUUUCCUAAGUAAGUUAAGUAGAAAGGAGAGUCAGGACCAUCUCCCCAACUGCCACCUGUCUAGGCACACUGUCCCCUGUGAGGUUUGCCCCCUAAGACCCUUCCUUUUGCAAGGGAAGAAACCACUUCCACGAGCCCUGGGGCAAAACAGUCCAGCUUCUCUCUCAAGAGCUCACAGGCCGUUGUCUCCAGUGGUCCAAGGAGGUCUGAGCUUUCUUCGUCUGUGAUUUGAGCCUUGCUUCCUAGGUUUGCUGAGGAUCCAUCCUCCAGCUCAUCAGUUUGAAAGAACUCAGUUUACAUGUGCUGCUGUGUAGAGGUCUGAACACUCAGGGCUUGGUUUUCUGCUGUCCACAUUUAAGUGGGUUCCAGGGCUUGAACACAGGGUAGCAGGCUUUCAAAGCAAGUGCCUUUACCCACUGAACCAUCUUCCAGACAGAAAUUUAUCUAUUUAAUCCAUAGUAACUCUGAGCUAAGACCUCCUAAAGGGGACACACAGAUGCAGUCUUACUCAAGGGAUUGUUUUCUUGUGUUCUGUGUCCCUGCAAGUGACCUGGAGGAGGGAGAUGAUAUAAGGGACCGACCCUGGCAGUUCUAAGAGCAUGGUGACAUUCCUCCUUCCUCCCUCAGAGAAAAGAAGAACAGACAUUUUAAAAUAAGUCCCUCCAGGGGCUUGCCAUUGUCUCUGUGCCUGAGCUACGGAGACAAUCACCCAGGCAGAAUCAGCCCACCUAUUUUAUGAUAACCUACAUUUACCGUGGAAAAUCCCAUCUGUGACCCUCUGGGUGGAAAAUCUCCUGCCACAGAAUCAAGACAUGUUCAAGUCUUCAUCCGGGGCAUGCAAAAACUGUAAGUAUUUCUGCAGUUUCUGGCCUGGUAAAUGUGUCAUGCAGUUUAUUUCUCACAAAGUGACACAUAAAACACGUAAUUCAAUUUAACAACAAACUUUGGCUUCUAGUUACUUGCUGGUGUAUGACUUCAGCAGGUUUGCUGGAGUUGGCUGUGGGUGUUUGUGAAGCGGGCUGGAUGAAUUAACAGUGCUUGUGUAUAGAGAAUUAAGUGUUACCUGGCUUCUUUGCUGCUCCAGCGCUCUGUGUAAGUCCCAGUGGCAAACCUACUCUCCACAAACUAUUCCUAGCAGAAUACCCUUCCUGGGCCACAUUCUAGAAAGAACUUAAAACAGAUGAAGACUAAACACACGUUUUGGAUUUUGGCCUUCACUAUUUUGUGGCAUGGUUUCAAGCUCCUCUUUCCAAAACAGAAAGUUUUUCUGCAAGGAAAUGCUUCCUUCUGAGAAGGGUGGUGGUGCCACAUGCAUUUAAUCUCAGCCAUCGGGAGGCAGAAACGGGUGGAUCUCUGGGAGUUCGAGGCCAGCCUG